rnacentral:rRNA from 1 species
UACAGAGGGGGCAAGCGUUAUUCGGAAUUAUUGGGCGUAAAGGGCGCGUAGGCGGCUUGGCAAGUGGAUGGUGAAAUCCCUCGGCUUAACCGAGGAACUGCCGUCCAAACUGCUUCGCUUGAGACCGGGAGAGGUGAGUGGAAUUCCCAGUGUAGCGGUGAAAUGCGUAGAUAUUGGGAGGAACACCAGUGGCGAAGGCGGCUUUCUGGCCUGCUCUUGACGCUGAGGCGCGAAAGCUAGGGUAGCAAACGGG